UACGAAGGGGGCUAGCGUUGUUCGGAAUUACUGGGCGUAAAGCGCACGUAGGCGGACUAUUAAGUCAGGGGUGAAAUCCCGGGGCUCAACCCCGGAACUGCCUCUGAUACUGGUAGUCUAGAGUCCGGAAGAGGUGAGUGGAAUUCCGAGUGUAGAGGUGAAAUUCGUAGAUAUUCGGAGGAACACCAGUGGCGAAGGCGGCUCACUGGUCCGGUACUGACGCUGAGGUGCGAAAGCGUGGGGAGCAAACAGG
rnacentral:rRNA from 1 species